CAAUAAAUUUUUUAAAGCAAACAUCAAAAUAGAGAAAUUUCAUUUAGAAUUUUAAUUAUACAGAAGAAAGCAAUACCUCAAGUUUUGCUUCACAGUCAAAUCGUAAGAAGUCACUGCUGAUAUAGGAGACUAUGUUCAAUGGCGUUAAUAGAAGUUACCUGUUUCAUCAUGUCAACAACACCAAUAAUAGAUUAAAAUUGCGCCACUCAAUUAAAAGAAAUCAUUAUCCAUCUCACUAGUAAUAUUUACUAAUUUAAAUUAAAAAUAAAAUAUAAUCUCCAAAAUCAGCUUUUCCGUGUAAAUAUUUCAAAGAAGAAAAUCAUCUUUUGGUUUCAAUGACCCACCACAAAAAAUUAAUAUUAGUUUGGUUUAUGUCAUAACAUAUGAACCCCACAAAUAAUAAAGAAUUGUCCCACUUACCAAGCAAUGAAUUUGCAAUGGGACCGUCUCGAACGAUUUUGAGUGGGAACAUUAGGACAAAGCCCGAAAUCUCCUGAAAAGAAUUAGUGGAAAGAGCAAACUAUUAAUUAAAUGGAAUUAGGAAAGUGAAACUGAGCUUUAUUAAUGAAAUUGAAAAGAAAAGUACCUGAUAAACCCGAUUCCUUGGUGGGCACUUGUUAUUACAAUGGCGAUGAAGGGGCUUGAUUUGCUUGAGUGGCAGAGAAAGAGUAAAGUGGCAUUGUAAAGUGAACCCAGGUUUCAUUAAGUCAAUUUCUUUUCUUUUCUUUUUUUUUGUUUAGUAAGUCAAUUUGUCUUUUUUUUUUCUUUUCAUCUUCCUUUUGCCGCGCUUUAACCCGUGCUGUAUAACUUAUGCGCGCUUAAUGAAAUUUCUUAUUUAUUGCACAUUAUUUUCUACUAUU
rnacentral:lncRNA from 1 species